rnacentral:ncRNA from 1 species
AAUAUAUAAGGGCAAUCCAAUUGAUAUAUUGGUAUGCAAAGCUAUAGGGGCUUACUCAUAGAUCUGCCAGACAGCUGCAAUU